GCCUGGCUGGUUCAGCCAGUAGAGCACGUGACUCUUGAUCUCGGGGUCGUGAGUUCGAACCCCACAUUGGGCA
rnacentral:tRNA from 1 species